ensembl:rRNA 5S_rRNA 5S ribosomal RNA
GCUGGCAGCUAGCUCUCUGCAACUCUCACAUGGUUACACACUGAAACUAAGCAGGGCUGUGCUUGGUCAGUACCUGGAUGGGAGAUGACAUGGGAAAGCUUGGUUGCUGCUGGAA